rnacentral:rRNA from 1 species
CGUUUGGAAACGAACGCUAAUACCGCAUAACAAUGAGAUUCGCAUGAUUCUGAUUUAAAAGAAGCAACUGCUUCACUACUUGAUGAUCCCGCGUUGUAUUAGCUAGUUGGUAGUGUAAAGGACUACCAAGGCGAUGAUACAUAGCCGGCCUGAGAGGGUGAACGGCCACACUGGGACUGAGACACGGCCCAGACUCCUACGGGAGGCAGCAGUAGGGAAUCUUCGGCAAUGGGGGCAACCCUGACCGAGCAACGCCGCGUGAGUGAAGAAGGUUUUCGGAUCGUAAAACUCUGUUGUUAGAGAAGAACGUUAAGUANAGUGGAAAGUUACUUAAGUGACGGUAUCUAACCAGAAAGGGACGGCUAACUACGUGCCAGCAGCCGCGGUAAUACGUANGUCCCGAGCGUUGUCCGGAUUUAUUGGGCGUAAAGCGAGCGCAGGUGGUUCCUUAAGUCUGAUGUAAAAGGCAGUGGCUCAACCAUUGUGUGCAUUGGAAACUGGGGAACUUGAGUGC